GUCUUAAAGAUUUUAAUUUUAAGUCAAAUCUGCCCACUGAAUUUUAAAUGGCUGCAGUAAUUUAACUGUACUAAGGUAGCAUAAUAAUUUGUUUUUUAAUUAAAAACUAGAAUGAAAGAUUUAAUGAAAUAAAAACUUUUUCAAUUAAAUUACUAUUAAAUUUUUUAUUUAAGUUAAAAAACUUAAAUAAUUUAUAAAGACGAUAAGACCCUAUAGAAUUUUAUUUAUAAAUUUAAUUUAAAUUAAAAUUAUAAAUUUUAUUGGGGUAAUAAAAAAAUUUAAUUAAUUUUUUUUUAAAAAAACAUUUAUUAAUGAAUAAUUAAUCUUAAUUUUUAAAUUUAAAAAAUUAAUUACCUUAGGGAUAACAGCAUAAUUUUUUUUAAAAGUUCUUAUUAAUAAAAAAGAUUAU
rnacentral:rRNA from 1 species